GGAAUUUAGCUCAGUGGUAGAGUGCUUGCCUAGCAAGCAUAAGGCCCUGGGUUCGGUCCCCAGCUCCG
rnacentral:tRNA from 1 species